UCAUCCGUGGCUUAGGGGACUAAUUCCAUUAUACUUUUGAAUUAGUCUAAGGUAAUGGCUCCAACUAAAAUAUUAGUCCAAGUAAUUAAUUCUCAUGCCCAGUUAGGAUUUAAUUAUUCUGGCCCAGAAUGCAUACUUCCUUAACCAAACCGACCCAGCCCUCUUUUCUAUGGCCCAAUUUAUUUUAUUCCUCUGGGCCCCAUUACUUAAUUUAAGAGGCCCACUUUGAAAUAAUGGGCAAAGCGCAAAUUUUGGAGAAAUACUCCCAUCCGUCAGCCGCCUCUCUCUCAUUUCCUCUUCAAGCUCGAUUUUUCUUCCCCAAAUCAAAAAUCGAAUCCCUAGCAUCCUCCACUCGGUGACCCCCACCGCUGCUCGUCGUUCGCCGUCGUCCCGGCUCACUCUGGUCCUCCUUUCUCGAACCCUCUCUCUCUGUCCUCUCACGACGCUCCCAAUUUGGAGAAAUUGAGUAGCGAAGCCCCAGCUUCCAUUUGAGGUGGGGUCUGGACCGGAGGAAGAAACAACGUCGCUGACAUCUCUUCUUCGGAACGCGCACGGAGCUGCUGGAAACAGCAGGGGUUCUCCGUCGCCUCGGGAGACUUCAGCCGACGCUGCCGAUUCGCGCUGCUGGUUCUAGACGGCACGGCGUCGCCGCCGAUUCUGCUCCAUCAUGGUGCUGCUGUGCCUACACCGGCAGCUUCGAGCUCACUCUCUCUGUCGGGCUCUCUCUCUCUCCAAUGGAUCUCGUCAGCGUACGAAGUCGCUGUUCAACCACGGCAGCGUCUCCUCUAUGUUCCUAGGUUCUCAUGAUGUGGGGUUCUAAGGCAUGCUCCUCUGUUCUCGAGCUUCUAUGUUCCUACUUCUCAUGUUCUAGCUAUUUACGUGUUCUAUAUGAUGCAAUUAUGGUGUUGAGGGGAUUACUUCUUGUGAAUGUGUUAGCUUGGAGUGGUCGGUUUCUGGUUAUGCUUAAAACCGCGCUCUCUGCUUGCAAUCUGAUCCCCUUCACUCUUACUUGCUAUACAACUAAAUGGAGGGUGUUGUGGUGUGGUAUAUUGUAACUGAGGGGCUUAGCAUGUGUAUAUAUACACAUAUCUUGUAACUGAAAGCUGCCAAGUUUGUUGCUUGGCUGGAAAGAAGGAGUCCUUAGGCAAGUUUGUUGCUUGGCUUGAAAGAAGGAGUGAAAGGCUGGCUGGAAUUGCUUCUUCAACUCCAGCAAAUUUUCCAUCCUUCAAAAGGAGCUGAGGCUGGCUGCCGAGGCUGCUUCCCUCGUGGUCUCGCCCUCUCGGGCUUUCUGGAAUCUUGGCCGAGACGGCCUAUUGAUGAAAAAUCGACAUAGUUGCUAGGGGUUUCAACAAUGUAAUAGUGUAGUUCGACUUAACCUACUUCCCAACAUGUACGAAAAGUUCGAUACUAGUUGGUGUGUACUUUCUAACAAUUGUAACUCCUUAGUUUGAAUUUCUUCAUAUUGUAUUUAUAAACUUUUAUUUAAGAAAUAAAAGAUGCUCUAUCAUUCUUCAUCAAA